UUUUUUUUGCGGUCAAAGUAAAAUCAAAUUCGGAAAGAAAAGGAAAACAAGAAACAUGUAAAAGAAGAAACAGAGAUAGAAACGAAAAAAAGGGGAAAUAAGUACGUAGUCAAGAGUCUGUCUGAUUCCCAUUUUUUUUGUAUUUUUCUUUAUAUUUUUACUUUUUCAGAAAAAAAUCAUAAAUUGUUCAAAAUUUUAAAAAAGUUUCCGUUUUCAAAAUUAUGUUCACAAAUUUAAACAGGUCUGCUUUUUCAGAAAUGUUCGGUAAUUGCAAAAAUGUUUGCGUUAUCCAAAUUUUUUCAUGUUUUCGAAGGAAAAUCACAAAUUCAAAAAAUGUUCCCGCUUUCAAAAAUUGUUCACAUAUCCAAAAAACUGUUUGCUUUUUUUAGCUACCAAAAAGAAAUGUUCGCUUAGGGCGAGGCCCAAACAAACAACUCAACAUACGUACGAGUCUAUCCCUCACCGGUAUCCCCGGCCCACCAGGGUUCAAGUCCUGGUGCUCGCAUUAUUCGUGAAUUUAUUUCAGAAGUUUCGACGAUGCACUUUCAGUGGGAGGAGAUGUUCCCGUCGACAACGAGGCGCCCAAUGUGACUUCAUAAAUUUUAAGAUGAUAUGCCGGCUCAGUCUCUCGGAGAUGCUCAUAGGAAUAAGGUGUGUGUGUGCGUGCGCGCGCGUUCAUAGAGAUGAGUGUACGCGCGUAUGUAUGAGCGCUUGGGUCUGUACCGUGUUCGAAAAAAAACCGUACGUACAUGUCUCCAAUUGGACGCUGUGUAGGAUUCAUUGUCUGUGUAGGCCAGCGUCCUCCCCAUCAUGUAAUAUACACCCAACGAGAACCAGAUCCAUGCAAAGGUUUAACCCCCAAAUAACAUAAAAGUUGUACCUAAAUUAGUAUCACUAAUUAUACCUCGGUCACAAAAAGGUUUAACCCCCAAAUAACAUAGUUUAGGCUUUUAUAAAAUACAACAUGCAUUUAUUUAAUUGUUUUAGCUACUACUUAAAUCAUUUUAGAGCAUUCAAAGUUUCUAUAAAAGUCUGCUUUCCUCACCAUAGUUAGCUAUGCAUUAUUUCGCACAACCCGAACAUUUUAGUUUUAUUAUUCGAAAACCUUUACCGUUUGACUUGAUUUUGAAUUUGAAUUUGAAUCGGUUUUGAAUCAACGCGAGUUUAUCAACAGUAACCGAGGUCACAUGGCAUCAUUAGGUUCACUGUAGCUUAAUUGUCCGGGCGUCACAUAUAGGGAAGCCUAGCGCGAAGGCGAGCGGGAGAUGGGUCAGCCCAAACACGUGAAAUGCCACAACCUCGUUUCUUGGGUUUUUAUUUAGUUUUUUUAUGCUUCAAAAUAUCUAAAUAAAUAUAUUACAAAGACCACUUUAGAUACAAAUACUUGAGAAAAUGUUAAGCAAGCAUUUGAAAAAAAAAAUUGUAUAGGUAAAAUGUUUCUCAUGUAUACUAAAGAUAUACAAUGUGUUUGAAAAAAUUUGAUCGUGUAUUUUAAAAUUGUUAAUCAAGCAUUUGAAAAAAUAUCAAAUGUGUAUGGAAAAAAUGUUGACCAUGGAUAAAAAAAUGUUUAUCUUGUACUUGAAAAACGUUUGUCAAGCAUUUGAAUAUUAAAUGUGAAUGGAGAAAAAGUGGACCAUGUAUCCCAAAAUUGUUAUUCUUCUAUUUGAAAAUGUUAAACAUAUAAUAAAAAUUGUAUUUCAUUAUAACAGAAGUGUAAGUUGUGUAUGGAAAAAGAUCACACCCAAAAAUAAAAGUAUUCAAAAAAAUAUUAACCAUGUGUGCCAAUGUUUGACAUGUAUAUAAAAAGGUUUCUGAUGUAUAUGAAAAAUAUUGAUUGGGUACUGAAAAAAGUUGACUUGUGUUGAGCAAAAUAUAAACUGACAAAAAUCAACAAGGAAACUAAGAAAGAAACCAAUAAAACCAAAAGGGAAAGCAAAGAAACCUGAAAAGGAAAAAUGAAUAACUAAGAAACCAAUGCAAAAGAAUAGGAAUAGAGAAAGCCGGAAAAAACAAAGAAACCCGAUGAAAAGCAAGGAAGAAACAAAGAUAAGCAAAGAAACUAGAAAAAGGAAAGCUAAAAACAAUAAAAGCCGAGAAAGAAAAAAAUGGGCAAACUCACCCGACAAGGUAGCGCGAUUCAUCUGUAGGGAUCACUCGAUUGUAUAGCACGCCUAUUUCUCGCUUUGUGCGAGAUGUAGGGCACCUCGCCUGAAGGAGACCACAGGCCACAGGCCAUAACCUCCUUUUAUGUUUUUGUUUUUUGCUUUCAUUAUUACUUUUAUUUAAACUUCCAAAUAUUAUACAUAUACACACACAUAAAAUAUUUGAAAAAAUUUAAAAAUGUGCAAUGUGUAUAAAAAUUGUUUCUUUUGUAUACAAAAAAAUGUAUAGAAAUUUAUACAAUGUGUAUGAAACAAGUUGAUCAUGUAUUUAAAAAAUGUUAAUCAAGCAGUUUUUUUAUUCAAGAAUUUUAAAAAUAUUAAUAAAGCAUUUAAAAAAAUUUAAAUAUGUAUAGAAAAAUGUCUCUCGUGUAUACGGAAAAAGCUAUACAAGAGAAUAUACAAUGUGUAUGAAAAACGUUGAUCAAGCAUUUGAAGAAUGUUAAUAAAAAAUGACCUUUCCAAACAGCACGAGUCGUUUUUCCUCUCGAGAGGCGACUAGAAAACCUAGCCGCCGCCAGCGAGCUUCUUCCACCGCGUUCCUACGGCGGCUCCCCUCCGCCGAUGACCUCAGUCGUCGGUGGUGAGGGGGUUGUCGGGUCCACGUUGUUGGAUAGUUUUAGGCUAAAGUAGCUUUGUUUUUAGGCUGAUCAUCGUCUUGUCUUCAGCGGCGGCGAUGACAACGCUAAAUAAAGAUUCUUCAGAUCCUUUUCCGACAAGGCGACCGGUCCUAUGGUUGGCUAUGGUUUUGGAAACAAGACUGUUCAAGCAAGGAUGGUGUGGCCGUGGCGGCAUCCUCGUGGUGCACAUGUGCCCUCAGGCUCCGCCGUUGCGACGGCGUCUGCUCCAACGUCGGCACGGAGCUUGGAAGUUAGUCCAGGAGCGGGUGCAUAUUGUGGUCUGCAUCGACAAUGUCUGGAAGACGAAACGUGUGCUCGGUUUGUGGUCGAUGGAUGACAGGUGUGGUUUCCUCCAUUGACGUCUUAGUCAUGGUGGGGUGCUAGAUCUGGAGUUCGACGGUGUGUCCAGAAUGUUGCCCCGGUCUGAUUUGUUCAACGGCAAUGGCUUCACUUCUGGUGAGCCAUCUUCGAGGUCCGCAAAGCUGCAUAUCAGCGAUGGAGCCGCGUCGAGCUCGGGUGAGGAGGUGAUCCAUCAAUCUUUUCUUCGGUGGCUGCUGUGAUGGUGCCGAAGGCAGGUGACGGACAUUGGUGUCAAGCUCACAGAUGUUCUGUUAUCUUUUCAGUUUUGUCAUGUCGGUCCUUACAUGAUUUGUACUUUAAUUAUUUUGAUAUGAAUGAGACACGUAUUAUCAUGCAAAAAAAGUAUGUGAAAAAUGUUAAGUUAAUCAAGUAUGUGAAAUUUUUUAAUCAAACAUUUCAAAAACAUUCAAAGUGUAUAGGAAAAUGGUUUCCAUGCAUAUAAAAAUUUAUACAGAAAAUAUAAAAUGUGUGUGAAAAGAAUAUUGGUCAUCUAUUUUAAAAUAAUUAAACAUGUAUAAGAAAAUAUAGAACGUGUACAAAACAAUGUUGAUCAUGUGUUGACCAUUUUCCAUCUGCUUCACAAACAUAUUUCUAUACAUUUUAAAAAAUAUAUACAGAAUUAAAUUUUAUACACGUUUAGUGUCUACUUUUUAUUUCAUGCAUGUUGUAUUUUUUUGUAUAGAUCAGAAACAUUUUUAUACACGUUUAGCUUUGUGAAAAUACAUGAUCAAUAUUUUUUCAUGUAAAGAAUAGAAAAACAGAGAAAAGCAAUGAAAAAUGAAAAGGAAAUCACAAGGAAAGAAAGGAAAACCAAAGAAAACUACCGAAAAAUGAAUGGGAAACUGAGAAAAAAUAAAGAAAAAAACAAUGAAAACAAGAAAUAUACAAAAAGAAGAACAAAGAAAAGAAAAAAGGAAAAAACAAGAAGAAAAAGGUAAAUAAAAAAUAAAGCUAAAGUAUAACAAAUAAUAAAAGAAAUGCAAAUAAAUCCGAUGAACAAACAGAGAAAACAGAAGUACAACGAAGAAAAAAAGUAAACCAAAAGAAAACCGGUAAAGAAACAAAAAGGUCGAAGUAUAACAAAGAAAAAAGGAAGAACAGAAGAAAAUCGAUGAAAAAGCCAAAGAAAGCUGAAGAAAAAAUAGAAACAAAGUGAAAAAGAAAAAAUCGCCACAAAAGAGCGAACUGAGUGGCAUGAAGCAAGCGAUCAACACAUGAAAAAUGGGCUGACAUGUUACUGUAGGGAACAGGAAAAAGCUUCAGGCGAGAGAACCUUCGAAAUCACUAAUUAUGGAGUACUUCUUUCAAAGGUCACGCCCACCUCUCCAGGUUGCAAGAAGCAGUGCACUGCACGUGUGCCUUUUGUCUCAAGAUGAGUUUUUUUUUCAAAGAUUUAUUUAUUACAAAUGUUUUAUCUCUUAAACCGUGUGUUCAAACUCUGAACCGUUUUUAUCAUUGGAUUUCUCGUAUCGAGAUUUUCGAAACUAAAUUCCAUGUUAAUAUGUGUUCAAAGAAAGUUUUCUCAUGAAAAAAACCGGAAACAAAGAAAAAAACCGCGCCAGAAGCACGUAUUUUUUUUGCUUUUUGCCUCUCGCGAAAGCAAAUCUGCACCUUUACGAGAAACAAAAUUGUGCCUCUCGCGAAAGCAAAAAAACACUUUUUUUUCCUUUUCGUGAAAGUAAAAAAACAUUUUUUUCCUUUCUGCGUAAGCAAAUAUGAAAUUCUUACCGAAAAAACACAUGUUUCGCACAAAGUUUUUUUUUAGUUUUUUCUCCAAACUGGGAAAUGUCGGGCAAGAACUGAAAAGCCGAUAAAACAUCUAAAACACGGACAAAUAAAUAGAAUAAAACAGUCCGAAGGGAGCGCCUAGCAUACGUCACAUGGCGACAAUUGAGAGCAUGCCAAGUGAUAGACUCUUAGCCAACAAAAAUUAUCCUUACGGGGCUCCCACAAUGAGUACUCGUUGAUUAGUUGCUCUAGAGAAUCUUUAUCUCGCCUGGAGAUAUAGCUCAUGUGUCGAUUACGUUUUUUUUUCUUUUCAGGGGUUAGACCUGUUGAGUAUAUGUAUUAUGUGUAUAUUAUAUAUUGGGUCCGGCUCUUAAUUUCUUGUAUAGUUAAGGUCUGUGGGUCAUCUUUAUACAUCAUAUAUACGUGUCUAUGUACGAGAGCAAUAUAUCGUGCAAUUCUUAUAAUAUACAUGGUAUCAGCUUUUUAAGUUUUGUUUUUGCUUCCGCACUGCCGCCGCCGCCACUGCGCGUCUCCUUCGCGCCGGCCGCCGCCGCCGCCCGCACUCCUGCGCCGACCGCCGCUCCAACUCCCACCCGCGCGCAUCGCUAGCAGCCGAUCCAUCGCAACGCCGCCAGCCGCGCGCGUAGCUAGCUAGCCCGAUCCAUCGCUUGCACGUAGCUAGCCCCAAUCCAUCGCUUGCACGUAGCUAGCCCCGAUCCAUCGCUCCAAACUCCAGCCGCGCGCAUCGCCUUGUCGCUAGCCACUAGCACCCGAUCCAUUGCUUCGCCAAGCCGUUGCUGCUGCCGCGCGUAUCGUCUACAGCCGACUGCCCAGCCGCCUCGCCAGCCGCUGCCACUUGCAUCACCGAAGCCUCCUACUGCUGUCGUCCAACUGUGCCGAUCAUCGCCGUCGGAACGUCACCAGGCCCGUCCGCGCGGGCGCCCUACAGCGCGGCCCCGCCGCCAUACGGGGCGGUCGCCACCUACGACGCGCCCGUCCCCACGUACGGGGCAAUACGGGACUCCGCCCGCAUCCACGUACGGAUCUCCGCCUGCGUACGAGUCUCUCGGGUUUCGCAGCGGGCCAGCACUCACCCGUUAUGCAGCAGCCAGACGGCGCCCAGCACCUGCAGCAUCUAUCAGCGGGGCCGCCGAUUUUUCCGGCAGGCCAUCCGGCCUACCAGCCACCGCAGUUGCAGCCGGGACAGCCGGGGCUGUAUAGAGCGUACCCACCGCUGCCGUUGAGCGGCGGCUACAGCUUUCCCAUGGCAUCUGCGUCCCCCUCGCCAGCCCUGCCGCCGGUGCCCUGGGACCCGGUGCUCCUCACCGGACUGCAUGCCGCUCCUACGCCGAACAACCUGGAGGUGGUGAUUGGUACAUGGACACCGGUGCUACGGCUCACAUAUUUGCUCAUCCUGAUAACCUUGCCUCCUUCACUUCUGUCUCCACCGACCGCCGCAUCAUUGUCGGCGACGGUUCCACACUUCCUAUCACACAUGUUGGCACACUUCUUUUUCUUCUACUUCUACUUCAUUAUCUUUGUCUAACAUAUUUGUGUCAUCUCAUCUUAUUAAGAAUCUCAUUUUCGUUCGUUGUUUCACUCGUGAAAAUCCUGUUACUGUUGAAUUUGACAAGUUUGGUUUUUGUGUCAAAGACGCUCGAACCAGGAUGGUACUUCACCGAUGUGACAGCCCCGACGAGCUCUAUCCGGUGCACUCGCCUUCAUCCACCACCACCGCACCAGUUGCUCUCUCCGCUGGCGUCGGUCUCUGGCACGCUCGCUUGGGUCAUCUCAACCCCUUCACACAUCGUCAUAUAUUUAGGAGUUUCAGUUUCAGUUGCAAUAAGAUCGAGGAUCACAUUUGUCAUACCUGUCGAGUCGGCAAACAUGUUCGCCUGCCGUUUAAUAAUUCCAUCACCAUUGCUUCUUUUCCUUUUCAGUUGAUUCAUAGCGAUGUGUGGACUUCUCCGGUUCCCAGUAACUCGGGCUAUUUAUAUUAUCUAGUCAUUCUUGAUAAUUAUUCUUAUUAUGUGUGGACUUUUUCUUUGCGUGGAAAGUCGGAUGCACUCUCUACCUUGAUGUCCUUUUACUCCUAUGUCCGCACGCAGUUUGGGCGUCUCAUCCUUGCGCUUCAGACGGACAAUGGAAAAGAGUUUGACAACCUCGCUUUCCACACCUUUUUGUCACAUCACGGCACAGUUUUCCACCUCACAUGCACGUACACUUCACAGCAGAACGGUCGAGCCAAACACGUCCUUCGCACUCUGAAUGAUUGCGUUUGCACGCUCCUGUUUCAUGCCAACGUGCCGCCUCGUUUCUGGCUGAACGCACUCGCCACUUCAUCACUUCUUCUUAACAUUAGACCCUGCCGCCCACGGUGAAACUACGCAUCUCACCAUCUUCUCUUUGGUAUGCCCCCGUCUUAUGACGAAUUGCGUAUUUUUGGGUGCAUUUGCUAUCCCAGCACUGUCGACACUGCUUCUCACAAGCUUGCACCUCGAUCUGUCGCUUGCAUCUUCAUCGGCUACCCCUCCAACUCCAAGGUAUAUCAUUGCUACGAUCCCGUCUCCCACCGUGUGUUCACUUCCCGGCACGUUUACUUUGAUGAGCAUGUGUUUCCGUUUCACCAGGUACCCCCGGCUGUUCCUCCCGCCACCGGUGACGCGGGCUCCUCGACGCCUCUCCCAGGGCANNNNNNNNNNNNNNNNNNNNNNNNNNNNNNNNNNNNNNNNNNNNNNNNNNNNNNNNNNNNNNNNNNNNNNNNNNNNNNNNNNNNNNNNNNNNNNNNNNNNNNNNNNNNNNNNNNNNNNNNNNNNNNNNNNNNNNNNNNNNNNNNNNNNNNNNNNNNNNNNNNNNNNNNNNNNNNNNNNNNNNNNNNNNNNNNNNNNNNNNNNNNNNNNNNNNNNNNNNNNNNNNNNNNNNNNNNNNNNNNNNNNNNNNNNNNNNNNNNNNNNNNNNNNNNNNNNNNNNNNNNNNNNNNNNNNNNNNNNNNNNNNNNNNNNNNNNNNNNNNNNNNNNNNNNNNNNNNNNNNNNNNNNNNNNNNNNNNNNNNNNNNNNNNNNNNNNNNNNNNNNNNNNNNNNNNNNNNNNNNNNNNNNNNNNNNNNNNNNNNNNNNNNNNNNNNNNNNNNNNNNNNNNNNNNNNNNNNNNNNNNNNNNNNNNNNNNNNNNNNNNNNNNNNNNNNNNNNNNNNNNNNNNNNNNNNNNNNNNNNNNNNNNNNNNNNNNNNNNNNNNNNNNNNNNNNNNNNNNNNNNNNNNNNNNNNNNNNNNNNNGCCCCCUCAGCGCAACCGGCGCCCCCGGCCCCCUCGGCGCCCGCGGCCCCCCGGCGCCUGUGGCCGGUCCGGUCACCCGCGCCCGUACGGGCGUUUUCCGCCCGAGCUCGCACAACGCCUCGGAUGACUACGUCCAUGCGGCGUCCACCUCUGAGCUGUCGCCGUUGCCAUCCUCCGUUCGAGCCGCUCUUCGUGACCCGUUCUGGAUGGCUACGAUGCAAGAGGAGUUUGAUGCCCUGUUGUGCAACCGAACGUGGCAGCUUGUUCCCCGUCUCCGGCACGCCAACAUGAUUACCGGGAAGUGGGUCUUUAAACACAAGCUCCGUCCGGAUGGUACCCUUGAUCGCUACAAAGCACGAUUGGUCGUUCAUGGCUUUCGACAGCGUGCUGGCAUCGACUUCACCGGCACCUUCGCUCCGGUCGUCAAGCCCGGCACGAUACGCACGGUUCUCCACCUUGCGGUCUCCCAUGCUUGGCCGGUGCACCAGAUGGACGUCUCCAACGCCUUCCUCCAUGGUCACCUCGAGGAGCAGGUCUUCUGCCAGCAACCCAUCGGGUUUGUUGACCCGGCGCUUCCCAGCCACGUGUGCCUGCUUUCACGGUCCUUGUAUGGACUCAAGCAGGCUCUGCGCGCUUGGUGCCAGCGUAUCGCGGUGUUUCUUCACCAGCUGGGGUUCCGCUCUACCCGCUCGGACGCCUCGCUCUUCGUAGAUCAUCAGGGCUCUGACACGGCCUACUUGCUGCUCUAUGUCGACGACAUCGUCCUGACGGCAUGUAUGGCGCGCUGGUCUCCUCAGUCAGCUCACGGCUCGUUUUCGCGCUGAGUUCUCCAUCAAGGACUUGGGUCCUUUGCACUACUUCCUCGGUGUCGAGGUGGUGCGCCAUUCAGAUGGCUUCUUACUUCAUCAGCGGAAGUACGCUCAUGAGCUCCUUGAGCGCGCUGGCAUGCUUAACUGCAAGCCCGCCGCUACGCCUGUUGAUACGAAGGCCAAGCUUUCUGCCACGGAUGGUUCUCCUGCUUCGGAUGCUUCUUUCUAUCGGUCUAUUGUUGGUGCUCUCCAGUACCACACUCUGACUCGACCGGAGAUCCAGUAUGUCGUGCAAUAGGUGUGUCUUCAUAUGCAUGCUCCUCGCGAUGUUCAUUGGGCUGCCGUCAAGCGGAUUCUCUGCUAUAUCUGUGGCACUAUGGAUCUUGGCGUCACGCUUCACGCCUCCGCCGACACAGCCCUCACCGCCUACUCCGAUGCAGACUGGGCGGGCUGCCCUAACACUCGUCGCUCCACUUCGGGCUAUUGUGUCUACCUUGGACCCUCACUCAUCUCGUGGUCAUCCAAGCGGCAGCCUACGGUCUCUCGUUCCAGUGCUGGGGUUGAGUAUCGUGCGGUGGCCAACGCCGUCGCCGAGCGUUUGUGUCUUCGCCAGCUGCUUCAGGAGCUCUCUUGCCCUGUUGACCGUGCCACGGUGGUCUACAGCGACAACGUCUAGGUGGUCUGCCUCUCCACAAACCCGGUGCAUCAUCGACGAACCAAGCAUAUUGAGUUGGAUAUUCAUUUUGUUCGGGAACAGGUGGCCCUUGGCCAUAUUCGUGUUUUACACGUCCCUACUUCUCAACAAUUUGCAGAUAUCAUGACCAAAGGCUUGCCUACGGCGUCAUUUAAGGAGUUCCGGUCCAGUCUUUGCGUCAGCCGCGGUGCCGCUUCNNNNNNNNNNNNNNNNNNNNNNNNNNNNNNNNNNNNNNNNNNNNNNNNNNNNNNNNNNNNNNNNNNNNNNNNNNNNNNNNNNNNNNNNNNNNNNNNNNNNNNNNNNNNNNNNNNNNNNNNNNNNNNNNNNNNNNNNNNNNNNNNNNNNNNNNNNNNNNNNNNGUGCCGCUUCGACUGCGCCGUGGGGGUGGGGGGGGGGGAGGGAUGUUGAGUAUAUGUGUUAUGUGCAUAUUGUGUAUUGAGCCCGGCUCCUAGUUCCUUAUAUAGUUGAAGUCCGUGGCCCACCUUUGUACAUCAUAUAUACGUGCCUAUGCACGAGAGCAAUAUAUCGUGCAAUUCUCAUAAUCUACGAGACCAAGCCUUAUUAUUCAAAGACCACAUGUCGUGGGAUAAAAAAGAAUUGUGGGGAAUGCCAAGCCAGACGUGAAGCCCCCUGAUCAAGAGUGUGAAAACUGGGUUUGGCUAACCUAUAUGCAUCUCAGUUUGCUUCUCUUCCUUCAAAAAUAAAAUUGUAAUUAAACUGGAAUGAUCUAUGCCUAAUCUCAGUGAUGAUCGCUCCAUAAACCCCUUACUGCACUUGCCUAUGCCAUUUAUAACAUGCUCUUGUUUGUUUAUUUAUUUUUGAGCUUGCUUGAGUUCAAAUAUGUGACACAUUAGCUCAUGCGAGCGGACGAAAAAGUUUGCUGGGCCGUGGCUCAUGCGCGCUGGCCGCUUGUUUGCUUCCCUGGUGGGCCCUCCCGUUUCACAAUAAGCCAGCGAACAGACGGACUAUGAUGUUCCGGCUCGAUUCGGAGUAGGAGGAUACCUAUAUAUCAUCACUAGAUCCUAUAGAGAUUGGCCUGACCUACCUCAAAAAAAAAAAAGAGAUUGGCCUGACCGUGAUCGACCGACAGUUGGGAGAUUGAUUGACGAUUGAGAGGAAGACGAACGACGAUGGGGUCCUGGCUCUCUUCCCCGGCCGCCGGCACCGAGGCUGACGCCGCCGUUGUCGGCUUCCGUUCCCGUGCCCGUUAGGCAAAACAGUAAGUAGUUUACUCUCCUCCCGGUUAAUUUGGAUUCUACUAAUUACUAAGAGCAUCUCCAGCCGUUUGGCCCCCCAGGACACCUAAAAAGAGCAGCCUGGGGGUGAACCGGCGCUAGCUCGGUCCCUGGGGGCGACCUAGCUCCCAGUCACGCCCUCAAGCGCCGGUCCCAGAAUGCAGAAAAUUCGAACUUGAUCGUUCCCGCUCAUCACAAAAGACGCCAUAAAUCCGGCGAUCACAAAUCAUAGUUCGGCGAUCGGAUGUAGUGUGGCGUACAAAAAUCAGAGCGCCGCAAGUUCGCGUGCGCAACAAAUCACUCGGCGGGGUCGGCUUCAGGCGUCGGCGGAGUCGGCGUGCGCGGGCUCGGCGGUGUCGGAGCUGCUUCGGUGCUGGGCGGUGUCGGCGCGGCCUCGGUGCUGCUGGGCGGCGUCGUGGAGGCAUCAUCACUCGGGCUUGGCGUGUGCGUCGGCGUCGGCGGCCUUGUCGAGGGAAGUUCGUUCAGGAUGAGGCCGCGCUAGCUCCGCCAAGUACCACGCCUUGACCGCCUCGUCGGUGCUCUGAAGCAUGUCCGCCCUGCCCAGCAGGAAAGCCAGGUCGGUGUUUCUCUUCUUCGCGGCAACGUUCAUCCGGAGCAGGUCGAGCUUGACGGCGCUGCUCGACAUCAACGCCGACCACCGCACCUCGGUCUUCUCUUCACGAAGGACGGUCUGGGUCUGCGCGUCGGCGAGGCAGUGCUCGAUGGACUCCUGCACUCGAGCGGUGGCCGCGUCGGCAUGUUUCCCCUUCUUGGCAACUUUGUUGCCGUCCGGCCGCUCUUCCGAUGCGCCAGGAGUCGGCGCGUCCGGCUUGUAGGUCUCCUUGGCCUUGUCGAGGGUGCGCCGGACUUUCGCCCACUUCUCGCACUUGUCAAUGCGCUUGUAGACGUGGAGGUACUUGAAUUCGGCGUCGCUGUUGCUCUGUCGGUAUAGGGCGAACAUGCGCAGCAACUGUGCGGAGGAACAAACAGUUGGCGCGCGUACACGGCGAAGAGAGGCGGGAGGCCGGCGUGGCAUACCUGAUCCUCGACGCUGGCGCCGCUCUCCGGGCGAGCCGCGACCUCCUCGACGACCCCAUGCCAUUUGUUGCACGCCCCUGGAUACGCCCCUAAUGGUGUGUCAUCGUCUUGGAGCCGCGCUGCACGUAGAUGCCUUUGAAGUAGGGGUCGACGAGCUUGCGCUCGUCGAACUCGGCCUUGAUGCGAUCCCAUUACGUGUCUAUGCUCUGGUUCGUGCCUGUCGUCGGGUCGAGGCAGACGACUUUCCAUGCUUCGGCGAGGCAUUCCUCCUCCUUGGACGCCCACUUGAUGCGCGGCUCGCCUGUCCUGGCCGGCCGCUUCUUCUUCUUGCGCCCCUUCGCCGUUGCAGGCGUCGGCUCCUCCUCCUCCUCGUCGUCGUCCUCCUCCUCCUGCUCCUCCUGCUCGUCCUCGCCAUAGACGUAGCCGAGCUCGCCGUCCAUGCCGCCGCUGAGAUCCACCACCUCGUCCUGGGUGACGAACCCGGGAGACGAGGCGGCCGCGGCCGAACCUGCCGCGAUGAUGUCGUCCAUGUCGGCCUCGGCCUCGUCGGUGUCGCCGAGGUGCGAGAAGGGCAGCGGUCCACGGCGUAGCGGGGGCGUCGGGGAGGAAGCGUAGGCGGGCGGCGAGUAGUUGUAUGGAGGGUACUGCACGCCGGCGAAGGCGGGAGAGGGCGUGCGCUGGGCCGGGUAUCCAUGGGGAAGGUGACGUUUGGGUUGAACCCACCGUGCGCGUCCUCGUCGGCAUAGCCCGGCGAGGGCGAUCCCCAUGGCUGCAGAGAGCCGACGCCUUGCUGGCUCCAGGGCGCGUACUGGGCGUGGCUUCCGGGUGGAUUCAUCAUCCCCGCACGAGUCGCCUCGGACUCGGCUUGGUCCGCCGAGGCAGCCUGAUGACCCACAAGUAUAGGGGAUCUAUCAUAGUCCUUUUGAUAAGUAAGAGUGUCGAACCCAACAAGGAGCAGAAGGAAAUGAUAAACGGUUUUCAGCAAGGUAUUCUCUGCGAGUACUGAAAUAAGUGGUAACAGAUAGUUUUGUGAUAAGAUAAAUUGUAACGAGCAACAAGUAACAAAAGUAAAUAAAGUGCAGCAAGGUGGCCCAAUCCUUUUAUAGCAAAGGACAAGCCGGAACAAAUUUUUAUAAUAGGAAAAGCGCUCCCGAGGACACAUGGGAAUAUCGUCAAGCUAGUUUUCAUCACGUUCAUAUGAUUCGCGUUCGGUACUUUGAUAAUUUGAUAUGUGGGUGGACCGGUGCUUGGGUGUUGUUCUUACUUGAACAAGCAUCCCACUUAUGAUUAACCUCUAUUGCAAGCAUCCGCAACUAAAAUAAAAGUAUUAAGGUAAACCUAACCAUAGCAUUAAACAUAUGAAUCCAAAUCAGCCCCUUACGAAGCAACGCAUAAACUAGGGUUUAAGCUUCUGUCACUCUAGCAACCCAUCAUCUACUUAUUACUUCCCAAUGCCUUCCUCUAGGCCUAAAUAAUGGUGAAGUGUUAUGUAGUCGACGUUCACAUAACACCACUAAAGGCUAGACAACAUACAUCUUAUCAAAAUAUCAAACGAAUACCAAAUUCACAUGACUACUAAUAGCAAGACUUCUCCCUUAUCCUCAGGAACAAACGUAAUUACUCACAAAGCAUAUUCAUGUUCAUAAUCAAAGGGGUAAUAAUAUGCAUAUAGGAUCUGAACAUAUGAUCUUCCACCAAAUAAACCAACUAGCAUCAACUAUAAGGAGUAAUCAACACUACUAGCAACCUACUAGCACCAAUCCCGGACUUUGAGACAAGACUUGGAUACAAGAGAUGAACUAUGGUUUGGAGAUGAGAUGGUGCUGGUGAAGAUGUUGAUGGAGAUUGCCCUCUCCCGAUGAGAGGAGCGCUGGUGAUGACGAUGGUGAUGAUUUCCCCCUCCCGGAGGGAAGUUUCCCCGACAGAACAGCCUUGCCGGAGCUCUAGAUUGGAUCCGCCAAGGUUCCGCCUCGUGGCGGCGAAGUCUCGUCCCAAAAUGUUCCUCCUGAUUUUUUCUCAUCGAAAGACUUCAUAUAGGAGAAGAUGGACGUCGAAGAGCGCCCACGAGGUAGGGGCGCGUCCUAGGGAGGGGCGCACCCCCCAUCCUCGUGAGCAGGGUGUGGACCCCCUGGCCUUCAUCUUUGGCGAGAAUUUUUCUUUAUUUAUUUUAAGAUGUUCCGUGGAGUUUCAGGACUUUUGGAGUUGCGCAGAAUAGGUCUCUAAUAUUUGCUCCUUUUCCAGCCCAGAAUUCCAGCUGCCGGCAUUCUCCCUCCUUAUGUAAACCUUAUAAAAUAAGAGAGAAUAGCCAUAAGUAUUGUGACAUAAAGUGAAAUACCAGUCCAUAAUGCAAUAAAUAUCGAUAUAAAAGCAUGAUGCAAAAUGGACGUAUCACAGCCGCAGCCGCGCGCGCCGCGUUGUCGCGGGCCUUCUUGGCGAUGGCCCUGUUCCGCCGGUCGGCAGUGACAACCUCCCGCCGCUGAACUUCCGCCCUUCACUUGGCGUUUGACAUACCCGGUGGCUUAACCGGCGGCGCCCUCGGCUUCCUCUGCUUCGGCUGGGCGACGGAGACGGUCGCGGUUGCCGCCUCGCGAGGGGCGACGUACUUCUUCAGUGGCAUGGCGGCCGGCUGGGAGGGAGGCGGGUGGGAGGGAGAUUGGCGGGGGAAAGAGCGGGAGGGAAGUGGGGAAAACGCGAGAAAAAACGGCGGGAAGAGGCGCUCGCCUCGCCGACAGGGCGGACCCACGCGCCCUUUUCGCUUGUGCCGGCGCUCCAGGCGCCCCCAGGAAGCCGGGUUCGGGCUGGGUCCGCCGGCACCAGUUUCGACCCGAACCGGCGAAAAACGGGCUUCUGGGGACGCGGCUGGGCCGUUUUUUCGGCGCCGGCGCGGCAAAAACGUCUGAGGAGGGUCUAUUGGGGGCGCGGCUAGAGAUGCUCUAAGUACUUAUGAUAUGUGCAUGCGCUGAUGCAUUGUCAAUGUUUAUUUACGGUGACAGGCGUCGCGACGCCAACCAUGCUCGCUUAUACACCCUCUUCGCCCUCGGCCACUACAACUCCAGGAACAAGGUACGUAGUACAUGUCCUAUAUAUGCACCUUGCUCACUGAGUAUUUCGUAAGCACAACAAAGACAUCAAAUUAAUCCAACUGUCUUGUUCUUAGAUUAGCACGCCGAUGGAUUUGAUUAUUUAGUCAGUCCUUUCGCAUGGUAGAUACAAAAACUGAGAGUGGCAGAGGGGGUGUGUCCGGAUUUGCUUUUGGAUCUCUGUUGCGAUUGUGCAAUGAAAAUCCGGGGGGCGAGCUCAGUAAUAAAUUUUUACAUAUGGAGUAUGUGUGUGUCUAAUGUUUGAGAUGAAUAUCUGCAGGAUGCUAUGUUCGAGCCUGCCGCGGAGCCCGUGGAAGAACCCAAGGCCGCAUGCGUCGGUUUCAGACAAGAUUUCCGGUACCAUGUCGGCUUUUGGGCUCGCUGGAGGGAUGCCGCCACCGACGAGGAGCAACAGUACUUCUUUGCCGAACUACGCUUUGAGCGCCGCACCAGACGUCUAGUCGUCGAAACAUGCGCUCUCUUGGGUAUUCUAUAAUCUAACCUAGUUAAAUUUCCUAUAAAUUAUUACCUUCACUCAUGGAUGCAUGCAUGUUAACUCCUUUUUCUCUCUGUACAUUUUUGUGUUCGACAGGAAAGCCGCUCUGUCGUUUCAAAAGCAGCUGCGCGUUUUGCCCGGAUAAAUUUCAGAUUUUCCACCCAAGCUGCGCGGAGUUUACAUGUGGAAAGAAGAGGCACAAAAGGAAAUUCUUCAGGGAGAGGGAGAUGCUUGGCAGGGCUUUCAUGCUUAGACACGCUCAACAAGACAAAACCUUUAGCUAGGAUGGAAAGAUUCAACUCUCUGCUAGGCUUCUCGGGCUACAUUUGGAUAUAGCUAUGUAAAUAUGUAAUGUGGCAGCUAUCAAUGAAAAAAAAGUUAUCGAAGCAUGCUGACUUGGGAUGUAGUUUCAAAGAUCUCGCCUCGACGAAGAGGGUCGUUGAUUGGGUUAACGAUUGGAGAUAUAAAACUUCUAAAAAAUUCAAACUUAUAGAAUCUCUUGGUGAUGUCAUCAUGUGUGUAUUCACGAAAAUUACAGAGAGCCAAAGAACUAAUGGCAUAAUUGGUCUGAUACAAACAUUUGGCAUUGUCAAUAUUUGGCAAGCCAACAUUUAGCAAAACAAAAAGCUGCCAAAAGUUGACAACUAUUUGUGAGGUUGGCAAGAAAAGUUGGUAGUCAACCAAUCACUAGCCAACGUUUGGCAUUUGCCAAAUAGACAUGCCAACUUUUGGCAUCAAAUCAAUCAUGAUCUCUGCUUGAACGAUCGCCACGGCCACACCAAGUUGUGUACAUGAAUGUGGCCUGAACCUGUAAUUUCUUUCUCCCUAUCAAUAUAAAGAUACGCUCUCAAGCGUAUUCGCGAAAAAAGAAUUUCUUGGUGAUGCCAUGGGUAUGUGUCAUCUGUUGCAUGCAAAAGAGAGAACUUAGUGAUGUCCGUCUAUGAAAUCUUGGAUCCCAUGGUUUCAGACUUCUAGUGCACGAGAGGAAAAGGUAAAUUCUGAUCCGAGCAUAGCAGAUCACACGUACACUUCAUCAGUAUCUAGCGUAUCACUAGGUUUACAUCAGCGGCACCAAGUUGGAAGAGCUUUGGCUCGUCCAUUUAAUCCCAAGGAACAUACAUACAGGUCACAGCUCACUAGUACUCAGGAGAGCAGAAGGCAGCACACGCCGUCUGCUCCAGCCGUGCGAACCGCACAUAUCAUGGUUCUUCUAUACAACAGGAGAGCACAGACAGAUGUGCAGGGGAGUCGGAACAAACCAGGACGACACGCGCCAUGUCGACGAACAACCUUGAGCAGCCGUGCACAAAAUACAAAUGACCGUCUGAGCACCAGAUCUGCCCGCUUGCUGCACCGGUUUUGCGCCCCGGUCUGUUGGAGAUCUUCGAAACGCAGGUGCGGAC
rnacentral:lncRNA from 1 species